AGAUCUAUGUGAAAGAGAAUCUCUAGUUCUAGACGAAGGGCCAGAACUAGAUGAAGGAAGAGAAGAACCACGUAUAGAUGAAGACCCUAAAUUACAUUUCCUACCUCCUCCUCUUCUAUCCCUAUUAGGGACAAGAGGAAAGUUAUUAACUAUGGGAACUCUCUUAGAGUUAGGGUUUGGUGAAUCCAUGACAGUACGAGGAAGAUGAAGAACGAG
rnacentral:lncRNA from 1 species